AAUAGACUUCCCUGCCAUUCGCAAAGAAACGUUUGCGAAGUUCUGCAUGCCAAAUCAAGGAAGGCCGUCGCAUACCUCAGCGAUUAAUUUACAUCACCUGGGAUUCUUUGAACGUGAAACUGAAAUCUCGGUUACCUGGCACCUUCUCUCCAGCUAGGAUUCCAACCCACCAACUGGGGAUUCGAUUCUUUGGGCCGGCGGUUUGCCUCGGAGCCACAGAUGCGGCCUCCCUGCAGCUGUCUGUGACCAUUCACGUCCGAGUGGGCAGCGCACACCCACCCACAACCCACUGCUCGCACCUCUCGUUUGCGUACCUCGCAUAACCAUUUCCCAAAGUCAUGGCACGAAAUGGGAAGCCAUUAUUAAUCGAGCGAUCAGUAAUGAAGAGAUCAAACAGGCAGAACAUAAAAAGACUACAUUUCAAGAUGCUGAAGGAGGUUUGUAAAGUUUGGGUUGAAUACUGGCAAGCAAACCUGGUGCAUGUCUGUUGCACCUAUUGGCUGUCCUAAUUGAAGUUGUGUUAUAAAUCUAGUUCCAUCAUGAUUUCUGUUCUAAAACUUGUAUUCAUAAGCGAUACUUUAGUUAUUUAUGCCACAUUUACUUCAUUCACUUCAGGCAGCGACUCUAACGCCUGCUGUCAGGCUUGGCUGGCCAUGAGGGCCAAGUAUGCGAGAGAAUCGAAGAAACAAAGAGGCCGGAGCGGUGCUGGCCGCGAUGGUCUUGCCGUGCCAACAUGGCACCUCUUCAAGUAACUGGCCUUCCUUAAGGGCCAGAUUCAGCACCGACGGUGAUAUGCUACAUCACUUACUGCUAAGAACAAGCACAGUUGAUAUCGGGUCUGAGUUUAAAACAUUUUUACUCUCUUCCAUCAGCACCAAAGUGCUCCCUGUUGCGGGGGGAGUGGCGUCCACUUCUGCAGCGGCAGCAGACGUUGAAAAAUGAGGCGUGAGCCCAGAGGCAAGUUUGCUUACACGCUACCGGUCUUUAUUCGGAGUGCAGACAAGCUGGCUAAGUUGACGUCAACCAGUUGGUGGCCAAAAUUACCUUCAGGGCUCCUAUUUUGGUCAUGGAGAUCCUUGCGGAAAUGUAUUGCCCUGGAGAGACCGCAACCCCCGCAGAAAAUAGACAGCCUGGGAUGCCUGCUGAUGCCGAGAUGGAAGACAUACUGGAGCAUGAAGACAUACAUUUUAUUUAACAACUGCCUUCGAUAAGCAUGUUUGCAAGUGGCUCCUGUGUAAUUACCCUUUUCUCACUCUCCUCUUUCAUUUAAGCGAUUGGCUAUUCUUGGAGGCAGGUCCAAA